rnacentral:rRNA from 1 species
UACUCCUACGGGAGGCAGCAGUGAGGAAUAUUGGUCAAUGGGCGCAAGCCUGAACCAGCCAUCCCGCGUGCAGGAAGACGGCGCUAUGCGUUGUAAACUGCUUUUCCAGGGAGAGAAACUUGCGCACGUGUUGCGCAAUUGACGGUACCCUGGGAAUAAGCAUCGGCUAACUCCGUGCCAGCAGCCGCGGUAAUACGGAGGAUGCGAGCGUUAUCCGGAUUCAUUGGGUUUAAAGGGUGCGUAGGCGGACUAUUAAGUCAGUGGUGAAAUCCUGCAGCUUAACUGCAGAACUGCCAUUGAUACUGAUAGCCUUGAGUUUGGUUAAGGUAGGCGGAAUGUGUAAUGUAGCGGUGAAAUGCUUAGAUAUUACACAGAACACCAAUUGCGUAGGCAGCUUACUGAGCCGACACUGACGCUGAGGCACGAAAGCGUGGGGAUCGAACAGGAUUAGAUACCCUGGUAGUCA